rnacentral:rRNA from 1 species
GACGAACGCUGGCGGCGCGCCUAACACAUGCAAGUCGAACGAGCGAGAGAGAGCUUGCUUUCCCGAGCGAGUGGCGAACGGGUGAGUAACGCGUGAGGAACCUGCCUCAAAGAGGGGGACAACAGUUGGAAACGACUGCUAAUACCGCAUAAGCCCACGACCCGGCAUCGGGUUGAGGGAAAAGGAGCAAUCCGCUUUGAGAUGGCCUCGCGUCCGAUUAGCUAGUUGGUGAGGUAACGGCCCACCAAGGCGACGAUCGGUAGCCGGACUGAGAGGUUGAACGGCCACAUUGGGACUGAGACACGGCCCAGACUCCUACGGGAGGCAGCAGUGGGGAAUAUUGCACAAUGGGGGAAACCCUGAUGCAGCGACGCCGCGUGGAGGAAGAAGGUCUUCGGAUUGUAAACUCCUGUUGUUGAGGAAGAUAAUGACGGUACUCAACAAGGAAGUGACGGCUAACUACGUGCCAGCAGCCGCGGUAAAACGUAGGUCACAAGCGUUGUCCGGAAUUACUGGGUGUAAAGGGAGCGCAGGCGGGAAGACAAGUUGGAAGUGAAAUCUAUGGGCUCAACCCAUAAACUGCUUUCAAAACUGUUUUUCUUGAGUAGUGCAGAGGUAGGCGGAAUUCCCGGUGUAGCGGUGGAAUGCGUAGAUAUCGGGAGGAACACCAGUGGGGAAGGCGGCCUACUGGGCACCAACUGACGCUGAGGCUCAAAGGUGUGGGUAGCAAACAGG